rnacentral:pre_miRNA from 1 species
UUUUAUGGAUCAGCAAACGAAGUGGUUUCCUGAGAUGGAAUCUAUUCUGGUUGAAGAUGGCUGUGAA